UGCAAACAAUGACUUAAGAUCACCGUGCAAACAGUGACUGAAAACACGGCCGACCUCACCUGCCGAGGUCAAACCGCACGGCGAGCGCGUCAGCCAGGCUGCGGUCGGGCAUGGCAGGUGCUGCCGCCUGCAUGCAUGAAGAAAAGAAGAUGAGCUAACAGAGAGUCGGGCUGUGUCACUGGCACCAAGCCUGAUGCGUCUGAUAAGGCCGACAGGAACACUUCGGUUACCAAGAGGCCAGGUCAAGUGAAACCAAGAUGUCAAGGCACAACGUCCAUCAGGAGGAGUGGGGCGGCGAUCGUGUCAAGCUGUCAUGCAAGCCGAAGAGGGGGCAGCGGCUGGACAGAGGGGUUCAGGAAGAAGCGCCUUGCGGGUCACCAGACACCGGUCCACGGACCCAGAGGUGUCGCAGCGUUCGUGAGAAGACUGAAAGCCAUCUGAGGUUUUAAGACUACAGCAAAGCCACAAAUAAGAAAUGUGCAUCCAAUUAGAGACAUUUUAUCCAGCGGAAGCUGCGCCUGCAUCUUCAGGAAACACUCACUUGAGGGCG